rnacentral:lncRNA from 1 species
ACAGGGGUACUCCUACUAGGAGGUGAGGUUUUUAACGAGGCAGAACCUAUGUAAAACCUCUAAGAUAUAAAGAGAAAUCCACCCCAGAAGCAAAACUCAAAAGUCGAAAAACAGCCAGCAACGAGGCUGUAGCAUUCGACAAAACAUCACGUGAUUACAAGGACCCUCCGCAGCAUUCAACCAAAGGCUAAGAAAGCUCGGAACGUCCUCAACGGUGGAAAAACACCACAUCCUUAGCAAAAGACCUGGCCAAGAGCCGGACAGCAAGGACACAUGGUCAAAAGUGAAAAAAGCCCUGUCCACAUUAGGCAUCACAACAUGACCAGGAGGGACAAAACCUUCAAACCUGACAAAGACCUGAAAGAUAAUCAGGCAUCAGGGGCUAUACAACCUCUACCAAAAGGCAUCGAAGGUUUCACAUUCACAAAGUAAACUUCGCCAACAACAGCAUAACCUUCGCCAAGAUAAGGUCAAAGGUAUCCUGCAAAUCCAAGCAGACCUCCAACACACAAAGGCUGAAAAUAAACCUAAGCUCACAAUCACCCUCAGUCAAGUAAAGCAAGACUAGCUACUACAACAAUCACAACAACCAAUAAUAACUUGAUAGUAAAUUCCAACCUAACAAAGUACACUCAAUAAAUGCAAGAAAGCCUAUAAAACCAAGCUCUCCAUACCCCCCAUCCUCAGUUAGGAUCAGUACACACAGACCAAAACAGCCAGUGCAAGCCUAGCAGUCACAAAAGGAAAAACCUAGGCCAGCAUGGAAGCAAGAGUUAGCCUCAUAGCCGCCCAAAAAUUUGGUAUUGCACGAAGCUUCGUAAUGCUACAGCUGCGGCAUUGUGAUGAACAUCGACCACAGAGUCAUGUACAGCCACAAUAAAAGCACUGCAAGUUAGUAUCAGAGGUCUCUGAAGGGUAUCGCACGAAGUCUCGUAACAUCCCUUCAAAACCUACGACUCAUAAACCCAAAGGUAUCCCUCGACAACACUCCACGGGAGUUGAGCAAAGGCAAAGAUGAGCCCAACUCAGUAAAGGCUCCUUCGCUCCAAAGCAAGCGAAGGCCCUAAGGUCAAAGAACAGCAAGCCUGCGCGACCCACAUGACCACCAGCGUCUUCGCUACAUCGAACAUCAACUACGCAUACGCUACAGCAAGACAAAGAUACUUAGGAUCAACACCACUGUGACAUUGCGGAGGAUUCAAAAAACAAAAACAAUCGCAACGCUGAAAUGAGCGAAGGUUGUAAUAAAAAGACCUCUAAGAAGUGCGAAGGUUGUAGCAAGAGCCUUCAUAAAAACCUCUGAUCUUUAUUCAUGAUAGUAGUACGUACAUCAUUUAUUCACAUCAAAAAAGAAAAACAAAAAACUUAAACCAGCAUCCUUCGCCGCCAGAAAGCCGAAGGUUCUAAGAGUCUCGUACAAUUCUUAAGUAAGAAUCUGGCACAAACCUAAACUCAUCGCAGUAAUCACGAGCAAGAAAUUCAACCAAGUUGUCAACGCUACGCGUAGGACACAUAUGGCGCCACCAAUCAAUCAGCCAGCCCCUUGCGUAUAGAUCCCCGCGCUUGAAUGUCACCGGGGUAAUAUAACUUCCUUCGACAAAAUUCGAAGGAAGGACAUCAUGCCUGGGAGGAGAUCUAAUAACCUACGCCAAAAAGUUAAAAAAAAUUAUCACCUCGCCCAAGCGAAGGAUACGACUAACACAUAGGAUGUAACUUUCGAACCUCCUGACGCCCAGGAAGAAAACGUUCAGCCAAAACCUCACGAUCCUCCGGCAACCAGCAUGUCCCAUCAUCUUCUCCAAAAAUACGAAGGAUAGGGUACGAUGACUACAGAAAUACAUCAAACUAAGUCAAAAGAAGAAACCCACAUAACCUAAGACAGAAAACAUAAGAUGGAAACAACUACCUAAGCCGGAGGCCAUGAACCUUGGUACGCAAGCGAGCGAAGGAAAUCAGACCGCUCGUCGUCAAUAUCAAACUCGACAAAGUUGAACAUAUCAACUAUACUAAGGUUAGGAAAGGAAGUUCUCCAGUAUUUCCACAAGUCUCCCAAUACAUAAAUCACAUUAUAAAAGACGGAAAGUGGAGCUUCGCAAAGAUCCUGCACAGGUCCUCCGCUAGAGACCUGCGUAGGAUAAAAUGUAAGACAAACAACACAUUCAAAACAAGACCAAUAUAUUACAUAACUAACUUUUCAUUACAAACUCACUUAAACCUCGCCCAUUUUUACAAAAAAGCG